GCAUGCGGUUGACCAUAGAGACGGGAUAGUCUAGGCAACCCAGAGGUCAUAGCAGCAAACCCUGAGAGAGGAUGUAUGAAGAAUACGAAGCCUUUCCCAACAAAAAGCAGGAAUGGGCCUAGGCUCCAGGAGUCUCUCGCCUGAGGAAAACGCACAGAAAUAAAAUCCACACUCAUCUGGAGGUCAGAAGUCUCCGGGUUGGGUGCAUGAAUCUACUCUGCUUCCGCCUCGUCUGGCCUGUUCUCCUUGGGUUCACAGCAGCCAUUUACCAGACCUCUUAGUCCCCAGGUCACCGGAGAGGUCGAGUGUCACAUCCCCACGUGUCACGCCACAAGCACACAAAGGUUGCAUUAAUUGAUCGACAGUGCGGCAAGACAGUCAAAAGACAGUGCCCAAGGAAAAGUGUCUAUUUCUGCCAUACCGCCUCCACACACAGAACACUACUUACCUUCACUCUCCGAGCUGGAAAG